ensembl:lncRNA
UCAUAAUCGGUACAUAGCAGUGGUGCUUUGCUGUGCUUCCCAAAGCACACCGAGUCACAAAAAGAUCAAGAAAACCAAGUCAAAGGUUACUGCAUCAGAAUGUUCCCCUGUUUAUUGGUUUGCUUGUGAGGAAAUAGGAGUCCAUAAGGUACACCUAUUUCCCCAGUAGUCAGUAGACUGGAACAGAUGGACAAUUCUAAUAUCUCUACUCGAAUCAGAGGGUAGAUGCAGUCAGCUUGUUCUCUAUGGUAUCUCUGAGAAUGGCAUCUCAGCAGGUUAUAUUUUGCCUUGGGCAGACCUCAAAAACAAGAAACAAAAAAAUAGAAGAAACAAAUAUACAAACCAAGAAACAAAAAAAGCAAACAAGCCAACCAAACAAAAACGAACUAGCGGAUGAGAUGAGUUUGGCAAAAAGAAGCAGACAGAAAUGAGUUAGAAAGAAUGAACUAUGUAAAUUCCAUGCAUAAGGCAGGAAAGUUACAAUGACAGUAAGAGGAGAAAAAUACGGAAAGAAUCUUUGCCUAGCAGUUUCCUGAAUGUUUAAUCAAGAGUUGGACUCAUUUUCAUUUAUUUAUUUAUUUUUAGGAGGAAGUUUUUCACUCAGAUGUUGGCAACAUACUGGAGCAGGCUGCCCAAGGACAUGAAUGCCCCAUCCCUGGAGGCAUUCAAGGCCAGGCUGGAUGGGGCUCUGGGCAGCCUGGUCUCGUGGUUAGCAACCCUGCACAUGGAAGGGGGGCUGAAAUUAGAUGAUCAUCGUAGUCUUUUUCAUCCCAGGCCAUUCUAUGAUUCAGAGUUCUUUAAAUCAUGUCCAAUACCAUAAGCAAGGUGCAGGAGGAUGAAGAGUGAAGAAAUGUUCCCAGAAGUGAUAAAUAGAUUAAGGGGCAGCAAGGGAGGACUUGAACUAGGGCAACUUCUAGAGGUUCACAGAAUUACAAAGUAUCGCAAGCUGGAGGAGACCACAAGGAUGAUUGAAUCCAACUCCUGGCUUCACACAGGAUUACCCAUAAUUCAAAAAAUAUUUCAUGUGCAUAUUCAUGUACAGAAUACAAUCAUAUUUCUUUACCCAUAACAAUGGGUUCCUGUGGUCCUUGAUGUUACUUACUUAUUUACUCAUUUUUGACUGAAAAUCCACUUAUUCUCCAGAAGAAAUAUUUUUUAAUGAAACAGUAUAUCCUGAAAGAAACAACACAGUCAAAUGGCUAUAAAAAUGUGAAUAUAUACUGUGAUAUGGCUAUGAAAUGUGAAUGGCUAUGAAAAUGUGAAUAUAAUACUCUCUCUACACACCCUCAGAAAGACAGUUGCAGAAAACAACAGGACAGAGAAAGUUCGAGAUAGCGAGACUGUUUAUCCUUUACUGCUGUGGGCAAAAGAGAUUUGACUUGGGAAAAUUAACACAGUGUAAUAUCAGUUAAAAUGAAUAUGUUAUUCACUUGGAGCAAAACAAACAAAUAAAAAAGCAUAAAAACAAUGCCUUUCCUCACCCUUUCCUAGGCUCAAAUUCAGUUCUUCACUCCAGACUCUUCUACUACUUUGUUGCUGAUAAGAUAAGCACACUUAUUUUGAUCCUCUACCUGAAAUAUUGGACAGAUCAUCUCAUUCCUGACUACUAGCUCUUGGUUCUGCAUUUCCCUGAAUCUGGACUUUCUUCUGGCAAACUUUGGUUUUUACAUAUUGUUUUUGUGUUGCUCAGCUAGCCCUAAACAUUUUCUGUGUGGCCACUGCAUUAUAAGCUUUUUUCUAGCUACUGGCAUACUAUCAAAUUUUUGUUUGCCUUUCUUUCAUUAUUCAAAUAAUUCUGAUGCUUGAAGAUGUGGUCUAAUGACAAAAUAAAAUUAAGUAAUUCUGAUGUAGAUGUGAUCUAAUGAGAGGGGAUAUGCUUGUUAACAUUUCUGUAAUCGAAUCAUGGAAUCAUAGAAGGGUUUGUGUCAUUUAUCUCCAAACCCCUGUACAGGGUUGCCAUCCACUGUAUCAGGCAGGGCCCCAUCCAACCUGGCCUUGAGUGCCUACAGAGGUGCAGGCACCCACAGCUUCUCUGGGUAACCUGUGCCAGUGCCACACCACCUUCUGAGUGAAAAUCUUCCUCCUCACAUCUAAUCUAAAUCUCCCCUCUUGUAGUUUAAAACCUUUCCCCUUUUUCUAUCACUAUCAGAUUAUAUUAAAAAUUCAGUCUUCUUACUUACUGGAAGUAAGUACUGGAAGAUUUUUAUUUUUAUUUUUUUAGAUUGAAAAGAGAUAACAUGAGAAAAGAUGCUUGAAAGAUUCUUCUUUGUAGAGACGAGACUUAAAAAUAAAUAUUCAGGAUAAUUCAUAUCUAUCAUUAUCAUGAUACUUUUUUAAAGGUAAAGUGGUAGGGGAAGAGGGAAGAAGGGAAAAAGGAUGUCCUCUGCAUCUCAGGUUGCUUUUAGAAUUUACUCACAAUCCUUUACAAGCACUGAACCAAAAUAAAUCUUUUCUGUAGCAAAGAAAUAUUUGGUAAUAUAUUAGCUUGACAAGGUUGCCUUCGUUUGCAUUAGAGACUCUCUGGCUGAUAUAAAAUUAUCACUACACAUUACUAGAAAAAGAGCUCAUCUUUAUUCUCAUUCACUAGCCAUCACUAUAGUGGUAUUGCUGAUAUUGGCUGUCUUCAAGCUCAGACAUCCCAACGUAAUGAGAUAAGUACAGUCCUAGGAGUAGAAAUACUACCACUAGUAGUAUUUCUAUUUGAUACUAGUACCACUCGUAUCAAACUUUGGUGUGUGUUCACAUCAAAUUAUGUGCGUGUUAGCAAGAAACAAGGGCCAAUAAAAGACAAUCUCUAAAGCAAGAAAACUAGUGCUGAAAGACUAACACAUAAUGCACAGACAAGAUAGUAGAUUUUGGUUAUUUGCUUUAUUUUUGAAUUUAGUUCUUAUUUGUGUGUGUGCAUGUGUGGAAGAUUUUGUUUGUUUGUUUGUUUUGUUGUUGUUGUUGCUGUUUGUUUGCUUCUUUGGGGCACUUUUUCUUGAAUUGAACUUCUAAGCAAGGGUAACAGGAGCAAAAUCUCUCCCAGUGUAAGAGUAAGUCCAAGACCACUUCAUGAGUCUGUGUCAUGGUUUUAUGAUUUUUGGUUAUCAGUAUUCCACAUCACAACAUCAUGCAGUGUACUGGGAGUUAAGGAGCAAAUGCUUUAGUUCCGGGUACCUGUCUGGAAGAGAAGAACUACGUUCCCCAAGAGCCUUUUCGAGUACUGUUAUCAUUCCUGCUCAAGGGAACAGAUAUAAAGGCGCAGGUCAUCUGACUUGUCUCUCUUCUCGUCUCGCCGUGUUCCCUGUCGGAUCGGCUCGCUACUGCUGCUCCCGACUGCAUGCAAGGCUUCAGUAUUAGUGUAAGGCCUUUGGCUCUCGGACGAUCUUUCUCUCAAUUAUUGUUGAUUUAUAUUGUAUUAUAGUGUGUUAUCUUACAUUCCGAUACUAUAUUUAGUAAAUUAGUUUGUUUCUCC